rnacentral:rRNA from 1 species
UACGUAGGCAGCUAGCGUUGUUCGGAGUUACUGGGCGUAAAGCGUGCGUAGGCGGUUGUCUAAGUUUGGUGUGAAAUCUCCUGGCUUAACUGGGAGGGUGCGCCGAAAACUGGGUGACUGGAGUGUCGGAGAGGUAAGCGGAAUUCCUGGUGUAGCGGUGAAAUGCGUAGAGAUCAGGAGGAACACCUGUGGUGUAGACAGCUUACUGGACGAUAACUGACGCUGAGGCACGAAAGCGUGGGUAGCAAACAGG